UUAAUUUUAACUUGUUUAAUCUGUGUUCCUAUAAAUAUUCUUGAUCUUUGUUCUUAGACACAGUUUGGUUACUUGACAACAGUUUGAUCCUUUCAGGGGUUGCUUUUAAGCUUUCUUAGGUGGAAGCAGAGCAGUGUUUAGUCCAGGACUGUUUUUUUCCUGACUUCUGAGGCAGAUGUCUCCACUCUCCCGGCUCCGAGUCCUCAGCUCAGGGAGCAGCUGGGUUCUUUCUGGCUUCUCUUUCACCGCACCAUUGCCUAAAACUCUUUGACAGUUACCCGGGGUAAUUGUAUGGCUUAUUUCAUUUGUUUCGCAUCUCUUAGAGGUGGGAACUGCCUUUUAUUUUUUGAUACCCAAUGUCUUGAUGUUACAUUAUAUUUUUUUCUAGCUUUUUACUUUUUUUCAGGCAUUAUAAUAAUAUUUUAGUAACUGCUCUAGGAUUGCAGUAUACAUCCUUAAGUUCUCAUAGCCCACUUGCAUUAAUAUGGUACCACUCAAAUAAAAUACAGAAACCAUGGAGCCAUUAGUUCCAUAUGCCCUCCAUGAUUUAUUAUACAUAACUAUCAUACAUAAUACAUCUCCAUUUGUUAUAAAUUACACAAGACACCAUUCUCUUUUUUUCUUUAGUUAGGUGAUUCAUAUAAACCAAUUAAUAGGAAAACAAAGAAAAAUUAUUCUUUUAAAUUUACAGUUUUUAUGUUAUUCAUUCUUUUGUGACUACCCUCAGCCUGAGGAACUUCCUUCAGCAUGUGGAAAUCUGCUGGUGAUGAUACUUUUAGUCUUAGUUCAUCUAAAAAUAUCUUUAUUCUUGAAAGGAUAUUUUCUCUGGUUAUAGAAUCUGAGCUGACAAUUUUUUUCCUUUCAGUGCUUUAGAGAUGUUGUUCCACUCUCUUCCAUUCUCCAUGGUUUCUGUUGAAGACUUAGCCAUUAAUUAAAUUAUUGAUCCCUUGUAAAGAAUGUGUUGUUUUUCUUUUGAUGCUUUGAAGACUUGCUCUCCUGUCUUUGGUUUUCACCACUUUGACCAUGAUAUGCCGCAGUGUGGGAUUGUUUAUGCUUAUUCCAUUUAUGCUUAUUUAUGCUUAUUCCUCUGAGCAUGUUCUAUAUAUACAUUUCUGCCUUUUAUCGAACUGGGGGAAAUUUUUUUGUCAUUUUUAUUGAACUUUUUUCUCUCUUCUUCUGGGAUUCUUAUUACACAUAUGUUGGAAUACUUGAUAUUUAUAUAAAAGGUUCUGUUGUUUUUUUCCCAGUCUUUUUUCUUUCAUUCUUCACGUUGGAAAAUUGCUAUUGUUCUUUGAGUUCACUUAUUCUGUCAUCUCCAUCCAGCUGUCAAGACUGCUCAGUAAAUUUUUUUUUCAAAUAUUGUAUUUUUCAAAAAAUACUGAAUUUUUUCAUUCAAGUAUUGUCCAUUUGGUUUUGGGGUUUUGUUUUUCUUUUGCUUUUGAAAUUUUCCAUUUUUUUAUUUAUUGAGCUCAUACUUUGUUUUAUCUCAUUGAAAAUCAUUAUAAUAUCUGUUUAAAAGUCCUUGUCUGCUCACUGUAAUAUCUAGUUCCUCUCAAGUUCUGAUUCAGUUGAUUUUCUUUUCUCUUGAGGAUGUAUUCCAUUUUCUUGGUUAGUUUUGUUGGGAAACUUUGGAUUUACCCUGGACUUUGUGAAUGGUUGUGUAAAUUCUUGAUUUUGUUGUUUUACUCUAAUAAGUGGUUUUCUUUUGCUUAUGGAACUCUGUUUCUUGAACAGCAACUCCAGACUCAGUUGGGAUCAUCUAUCUUUAGCUAAGAUACCUUGAGUCUGUUUCAUGCGUCUGUGGUUCAGGAAUUAGUCAGAGAAACUAGUAGAAUUUGGGAAAGUCCUCUCUAUCUCUUUUUCUUCAGGGAAUCUCCGACUCUGUCCAUCAUCUGUGGAUUACCCUAUCAGAGAGACCAUGGGUUUUCUCCUGACACCUUCACCAACAUGUGCUGGCCAUGCACCCAGGCUAAAAGCCACAGAUACAAGGAGCUUACCAUACAGCUCCCCUCUUCCAAGUAUUUAUUUCUCAUCAGUUUCUGUAUGCUUCUCUUCUCCCUCCAGUGCCUUCAGGUCAUUGCUUUUUGCUUUAUGUCCAAGUUUUAUAGUUGUUUACUGCAGGGGAGUUUUCCAGGAGGGUCUUAUUCCAUCAUUACCUGAAUCCAAAAUCCCUCUCAGUUACCUUUUAAAUUCAAGCAUCUUGUCAUUUGAAGGCAAAACACUUUCUUACAGAAACUUGUUCAACUAGUCCACACGAUGAAAAGUAUCUGCUGAGAAGGCUACUUUCUGCAGCCCCUGUUCAUCUUCAAAGCACUUAGUAAAAUCUGGCCAAUUUAUCUUGAAAGCACUUCUAAAUUUCACCUAUCAGCUCAAGAACUCUACUGAAAACUCUUCCUCUGAGUGUUUGACAACAGUACUUCUCUGUGAAGAAGGCAGUGUGUUGUGACAAUGCGAGGAAAUUUUAACAAGAUACCAGAGCGCUCAUAAAACCAUCCAUUGAGGGGCUUCCCUUCCCUGGUGGUACAGUGGUUAGGAGUCCACCUGCCAGGGCAGGGGACACAGGUUCGAGCCCUGGUCCAGGAAGAUUCCACAUGCCGCGGAACAACUGAGUCCCUGUGCCACAACUACUGAAGCCCACGCGCCUAGAGCCUGUGCUCUGCAACAAGAGAAGCCACCACAAUGAGAAGCCCGCGCACCGCAACGAAGAGGAGUCCCCACUUGCCACAACUAGAGAAAGCCCACAGGCAGCAAUGAAGACCCAAUGCAGCCAAAAAUACAUAAAUAAAUAAAUUUAUGAAAAAAAAAGAUCAAAACCAACCAUUGACAAGGCUCCAUCAGUUCAGAAAUCAACACUGUUCUUCCAAGACAGACCUUUUGUUUAUAGAUAUGAAGGCCAAAUAUUAUCUAUGUCCUGGCCUUUGAUUUUUAUGGGCAAUUCUUUGUGUUCUUGAAUUUCACAGUUAUUUGUAAAUCUUACCAAUGUUGCAGUAUCACAUUUAUUGGUGAAAUUUGCGGACUCAGUCUAGAUAAAGAAGCCACGUGGUCUUUCAAUUUGUUUCACGAAACCUCUUCAAGAUCAUGUAACAUGUCAUCAAUACAGUCAGCCCUCCACAUCUGUGGGUCCCACAGCUGUGGAUUCAACCAACCGCAAAUCAAGAACAUUUGGAAAAAUUUCCAGACAGUUCCAAAAAGCAUAAAUUCAAUUUGUCACUUGCCGGCAGCUAUUUACAUAGCAUUAACAUUGUAUUUAUAACUAUUAACGUAGCACUUCCUUUAUAUUAGGUAUUAUAAAUAAUCUAAAGAUGAUUUGAAGUAUUUGGAAGGUUGUGCCUAGGUUGUAUGCAAAUAUUACACCAUUUUAUAUAAGGGACUUGAGCAUUUGUGGAUGUUGAUAUCCAUGGGGAGGUCCUGGAACCAAUCCCCCAUGGAUACCAAGGGACAACUGUACUUCAACUUAUCACACUGUUUGACAGUGUGAAACCUUUUUAAUUUCUCGUACUGCAUUUUGUCCCAGCAUUUUUCUUACAAUAAUUGUACCUGAUUAUAUUAUCAGGGUCUCACCAACUAUGUAACUUCCUGUUUGGGGCAACAAGUUCUGCUGUGAAAUAAUUCAUUUUCUGGUUCUUUUUACUGAAUGUGCCUGCUUUUAGCAAGACGUUUAAUGUUGAUUUUGAGAUUCUGAUAGCUGUUUAAUCAGCACCUUUGCUUCUCAAAUGGCUGUGACUUGUAUUUAAAUGGUUUUUUUUUUUCAAUUUUGUUGGAGCCGUUGCUGCAUUUGUAAGGUCUUUGAUAUAGCAGGGGUUCGCAAACUACAGUCCAUGAGCCAAAUCCCACUAGAGGCCAGUGUUUGUAUGGCCCUCAGAGCUAAGACUGGUUCUUAAAUUUUUAAAGAGUUGUAAACAAACAAAAACAAAGAAGAAUAUGUGACGGAGACUGUAUGUGGCCUCUACUAUCUUUAGUUGGGAUCUGUUUUGAACCACAGUAAGAAUAUGGAACUCUUCCUUCCAUUUCCUCUACUGACUUUUUAAGACAGUUGGGAGGGUUAGGAGUAUUGCCUGUGCCAAUGCAGCAGAGUUUUUCUGUCUCACAGCAAAUGAAAAGCAUCACGGAAGUGAAAAGGGAAUAAAGCCCAUGGAUCUCAGAGUGGUCAGGCUUAGCCAAAUUCUCAUUAAUGUCUCAUUUGGAUAAGCAGAGAGCUUUGUAUAACCUUUGUGUGGUGCUUCUGUAGAGUCAGAAUGAAAAACUCUAUGAUAUCCAGGCAAAAAUCCCCUGACAUCUGACAUCACAAAAGGUGUCAAUUGAGUAAAGAGUUGAUAAAACUAGAAAAUAGCAAAGGGUUUCAAGGGUUGAAGACGUAAGUUUAAAUUUUUGGAUUCAGAGUUAGGAAAUCCAGUUGAUAUUUGGGUUACAUGGUUGAGGGUGCAGGCAGGAGCUGACUGCCAAGAGCUGGCUCUUUCAGCUUAUGAUGCCUUUAGUGUUUAUUCUAGGUGGUUAAGCUAAGGCCAGGAGAAUAAGAACGGAAGCGGGGAUUCAGGACCUUUAAGUCUGCCUAGGUAUGAUAGAUGUUCUUGGUGACCUACUUAGAUCCCAUUUACUGGGCAAAUGCACAAUUUCCCCAGCUGCUGCAUCCUUCUUCAGAGAACUGCUGUGGUACCCCCCGCACCCAGAAAUGACUGAGAGGUCACACGCUCCCUCGGGGUGAUCCGCAGCCAUUAACUGAGAGAUACAGGGAUACAACGCCCACCCCCAGGCUCAGUGUUUGACAAUUCUGUGGUGCUGCCCUCACUCCCAUACAAACUUCACCAGAGGUCACUCCCUCAGUAAAUCACUUGUGCACGAAUCCCUCCUGAAGGCUCUGCUGUGAGGAAACCCAGCCUAAGCACCAGGUUUAAAUAAAGUACAAACGCCAAUAGCAUCUAUUGCUCUGCAUUUUUCAGGCACCAUGCUGACCUCAGGUAGAGUGCAGGGGUAAGAACCCCACCAAGAACUGAUUUAUACCAUGAAUAUUAAACUUUAGCGUCUCUUAAACCUGAUAGAAAAAUUCAGGAGAAUUAAGAGGAUUUGGGGGCAAGUCCAUAACAAUUAUAAAGACAAAGGGGGUGUGCAAUGGUGAUUAUCUCCUACUUUUCAAGAUUAGUUUCUGAAGGACUAAUCCAGACCAUUUUCAAACAAAAUAUUGAUCUGUUUGCAUUACUGGCCCUAUGGGAUAGUUUUAUGGUUUUAGUAUGUCUCAGUCCUAUCCAAUUUUUUUAGAGUGUUAAGGAACACUGUAUAAUAAAAUAGAUACUGACACCUA